AUGGCCACAAGUUCUAAUGGGAAAACCCAAAGUGAGGAUGAAGGAUCGUGUAGCAAGUAUUAUAUCGGCAGAAGGCCGAUUGUUGUGCUGGCAGACCCAGACAUCAUCAGACAGGUGACUGUGAAGGGGUUCAGCACCUUCCCCAACAGAUUGGUGAGACCCAUGAGCGACUGCCUGCUGAUGCUGAGGGACGAGCAGUGGAAGAGGGUCCGCAGCGUGCUCACGCCCUCCUUCAGCUCGGCCAAGAUGAGAGAGAUGGUUCCUCUGAUUAACACGGCCACUGAUGUCCUGAUGAACAACCUGGACGCCCACGCAGAAUCUGGAGCGGCCUUUGACUUUCACAGGUGUUCCGGCUGCUUCACCAUGGACGUGAUCGCCAGCGUGGCGUUUGGCACUCAGCUGGACUCUCAGAGUAACCCCGACGACCCCUUCGUCCACAACGGACAGAAGUUCUUUGGCUUCACCUUCUUCAAACCCAUCAUACUGGUUUCCAUGAUGUUCCCCUUCCUCCUGACUCUCCUGCGGCGCGUGCUGCCCAAGCGCCGCGACACCGUCAGCGCUUUCUUCACACAGUCCAUCCAGAGGAUCAUCAAGCAGAGAGACGACCUGCCCCCAGAACAGCGGCGCCGGGACUUCCUGCAGCUGAUGCUGGACGCGCGGGGCGGCGGCGGGGAGGAGGUCGUCUCCCUGGAGGACUUUGACGCCGUCUCCCACGCCGCUGGUCCCAGCGACCCGCAACCGGACUCCGCUCCCGCGCCUCCGGCUCCGGGGCUGAAGAAGAAGAGGUGGCUGACGGAGGACGAGGUGGUGGGCCAGGCCUUCAUCUUCCUGCUGGCGGGCUACGAGACCAGCAGCAACACCAUCUCCUUCGCCUGCUACCUGCUGGCCACGCACCCCGAGUGCCAGCGCCGGGCGCAGCAGGAGGUGGACCUCUUCUUCAGCAGACACGAAUCCCUGGAAUAUACCAAUGUCCAGGAGCUGAAGUAUUUAGACAUGGUGUUCUGCGAAGCCCUGCGCCUCUACCCUCCAGGCUUCAGGUAUGGCCGCACUGUGGACGAGGACUGUGAGAUAAGCGGCCAGCCCUUACCUAAAGGAGCCACUGUGGAGUUCUCCAUAGGCUUCCUACAUUAUGACCCAGAGUACUGGCCAGAGCCACACAGGUUCAUCCCAGAGCGGUUCACGGCGGAGGCCCGAGCCAACCGGCACCCCUUCGUGUACCUGCCCUUCGGCGCCGGGCCCCGGAGCUGCGUGGGCGUACGGCUGGCCCAGCUGGAGGUCAAGAUGGCCCUGGUGAACGUGCUGCGCAGGUUCCACCUGGUGGCCUGCGCUGAGACCAAGGUCCCUCUUGAGUUGAAGUCUGAUGUCACUCUCGGACCCAAGAAUGGCAUAUUUCUUAAGAUCACUAAAAGAGAAGCUGAUAACCGAAGCUGA
rnacentral:lncRNA from 1 species